rnacentral:rRNA from 1 species
AGCGAACGUUAGCGGCGGGCCUAACACAUGCAAGUCGAACGCGAAAGGUCUUCGGACUGAGUAGAGUGGCGCACGGGUGAGUAACACGUAGGUAAUCUACCCUUUGGCGGGGGAUAACGUUCCGAAAGGAGCGCUAAUACCGCAUAAGACCACGGAGUCUCCGGACGCUGUGGGAAAAGGUGGCCUCUUCUUGAAAGCUAUCACCGAAGGAUGAGCCUGCGUCCCAUCAGCUAGUUGGUAAGGUAAUGGCUUACCAAGGCGAAGACGGGUAGCUGGUUUGAGAGAAUGAUCAGCCACACUGGCACUGGAACACGGGCCAGACUCCUACGGGAGGCAGCAGUGAGGAAUAUUGGGCAAUGGGCGAAAGCCUGACCCAGCCACGCCGCGUGAGUGAUGAAGGCCCUCGGGUCGUAAAGCUCUGUGGAGAGGGACGAAAACCCUGGUUUCAAAUAGGCUCCAGGCUUGACGGUACCUCUUUAGCAAGCACCGGCUAACUCUGUGCCAGCAGCCG